AAUUUCUGGCUAUAACUCACAAAUUCCAACUCUAAUUGAGACAAAGCCUCACACAAAUGUCUGGAAGGAUAAAGUGAUGAUGCUUUAUAUCCAAAGGCUUAAAGAUGCUGUUUGUCUGUGUUUAUGUAGAAAACUAAUGAAGGCCAAGGGCCCAGCAGCAGCUAAAGCUGAAGAGGAGAAGAAGAAAGGCCUGGCGCUGUUCGGACCCAAACCGCCGACACCCAAACUGCUGCGAGCCUUCGGAGGAAACAUCAACAAAAACCUCAUUGACAAAAUGAAGAAUGCUGGUGGUCAGUGAGGAUUAUAAUGAGCCUCCUAUGAUUUUCUUUAUAACUCCUUUUUGGGAGUAAAUGUACAGUUUUAUUUUCAGCUUCUUUUGUACAGAGUUUGUUUUCUUUAAUGUUGAGAUUUUCUCUGAGAUGGACUCAUUCAAACAUUUACUAGAAGCCCUACAGCAGCAAGGUUCACUUAAAGCAAGACUGUGAGCUUUAAGAAAAUUAGUUGUAAUCACAAGGAAAUGUACUAAAUGACAAAAAAACACUGGCUUCAACAAACACUGAGAAAUGUAUUUAGUGCAAUAUUAGGAUCCAGACACUCUCUACUGCCCCUAGUGGACACUGCAUGAUAUAUAUUCUGUCAUUUUACAUACUGUAUAUAUAUUUUUUCAGUUUCAGUUGUAAAAGCCAAACAGAGAUUAUCUGUAAUUAUCAGAAAAUUGUGACAGUAUAUAAAAGUUGACUAAUUUUAUGCCCAUCUAUAUCUGCUAAAAUAAAUAAUUACCUGAUUUAAUUGCAUUUUCCUC
ensembl:lncRNA